rnacentral:rRNA from 1 species
UACAGAGGGUGCAAGCGUUAAUCGGAAUUACUGGGCGUAAAGGGCUCGUAGGCGGCCAACUAAGUCAGACGUGAAAUCCCUCGGCUUAACCGGGGAACUGCGUCUGAUACUGGAUGGCUUGAAUCCGGGAGAGGGAAGCGGAAUUUCCGGUGUAGCGGUGAAAUGCGUAGAUAUCGGAAGGAACAUCAGUGGCGAAAGCGGCUUCCUGGACCAGUACCGACGUUCAGGCACGAAAGCGUGGGGAGCAAACAGG